AUGCCAUGAUGAGGACAGGUGGCGACGUAUUCCUGCAAUCUUUCCCAUGCUUCUGAGAUCGUCUCAUCUUUCGUCUGGAGGAAGCUGGAUAUUCUUCCGCAAAGGGU
rnacentral:snoRNA from 1 species